AGCAGCCGCGGGAAUACAGAGGGUGCGAGCGUUAAUCGGAUUUACUGGGCGUAAAGCGUGCGUAGGCGGCUUCUUAAGUCGGAUGUGAAAUCCCUGAGCUUAACUUAGGAAUUGCAUUCGAUACUGGGAAGCUAGAGUAUGGGAGAGGAUGGUAGAAUUCCAGGUGUAGCGGUGAAAUGCGUAGAGAUCUGGAGGAAUACCGAUGGCGAAGGCAGCCAUCUGGCCUAAUACUGACGCUGAGGUACGAAAGCAUGGGGAGCAAACAGGAUUAGAUACCCCCGUAGUCCCUGUCUCUUAUACA
rnacentral:rRNA from 1 species